AGAUCUCAUCCUCCCGCGAUAGUUGUUUGAAAACUCUGGCGCUAACCCGUCACUCGGAGCCUUGCAGGGCUAGGGUGUCGGAAGCCGCGGGAAACUGAGUCCUCCUCGGAUCGCGAACCACAGUCUCUCUCGGGCAGUUCCCGUCCCGGCGCCAUGGCAGCGCAGAAGAAGCGGCUUUCUGUGAAGGAGGCGUUUCAGCUGGCGCAGCAGCCGCACCAGAACCAGGCGAAGCUGGUGGUGGCGCUGAGCCGCACGUACGGCGCGAUGGAUGAUAAAACAGCUUUUCAGGAGGAGUUUAUUCAUUACCUUAAGUAUGCUAUGGUGGUAUAUAAGCGUGAACCUGCCGUGGAGAGGGUCAUGGACUUCACAGCCAAGUUUGUUACUUCAUUUCACCAGUCUGAUGAGGAAGAAGAGGAGGAAGAGAACGAUGGUGGCAUUUUAAAUUAUUUGUUUACUUUUCUCUUACAGUCUCAUGAAGCAAACAGCAGUGCAGUCAGAUUUAGAGUGUGCCAGCUCACUAAUAAACUACUUGGGAAUAUGCCAGAAAAUGCCCAAAUUGAUGAUGACUUAUUUGAUAAGAUUAAUGAAGCCAUGCUAAUUAGAUUGAAAGAUAAGAUUCCAAAUGUAAGAAUACAAGCAGUUUUGGCUCUUUCUCGACUCCAAGAUCCCAAGGACGAUGAUUGCCCAGUAGUUGAUGCAUAUGUUAAUGUGAUUGAAAAUGAUUCAAAUCCAGAAGUUAGACGUGCAGUGUUAUCUUGUAUUGCACCAUCAGCAAAGACUUUGUCAAAAAUUGUAGGACGUACAAAGGAUAUAAAGGAUACUGUCAGAAAGCUGGCUUAUCAGGUGUUAGCUGAAAAAGUUCAUAUGAGAGCUAUGUCUAUUGCUCAGAGAGUGCUGCUGCUUCAACAAGGUCUUAAUGACAGAUCAGAUGCUGUGAAACAAGCAGUGCAGAAGCAUCUUCUCCAAGGCUGGUUGCGUUUCACUGAAGGGAAUAUUCUAGAGUUUCUUCAUCGGUUGGAUGUGGAAAAUUCUUCUGAUGUAGCAGUCUCCGUUCUCCAUUCCUUAUUCUCAAUGACUCCUCUCAGUGAGCUGGUGGGAAUUUGUAAAAAUGAUGAUGGCAGGAAGUUGAUUCCAGUGGAAACAUUAACUCCUGAAAUUGCUCUGUACUGGUGCACCCUUUGUGAAUAUUUGAGAUCAAAGGGAGAUGAAGGUGAAGAGUUUUUAGAGCAGAUUUUGCCAGAGCCUGCAGUAUAUGCUGAGUACUUACUGAGUUACAUUCAGGGCUUCCCAGUAGUUAAUGAAGAGCAGAAAGGUGAUUUUACCUUCAUUGGAGAUUUGAUGAAAAGAGAAUUCAUAGGUCAGCAAUUAAUUCUAAUUAUGAAAUCUUUGGACACUAGUGAAGAAGGAGGAAGGAAACGACUGCUGGCUAUUUUGCAAGAGACUCUUAUUCUGCCUACAACCCCAAUAUCCUUAGUUUCUUUAAUUGUUGAGAGACUCCUCCACAUCAUCAGAGAUGAUAAUGAAAGGAUACAGAUUGUCACAGAAAUUAUCUCAGAGAUUCGUGCACCCAUUGUUAAUGUUGUUGUUGAUCCAUCUGAUACAAGAAAGAAAGAACUCAAGAUGGCUGAAAUAAAAGUUAAACUUAUUGAGGCUAAAGAAGCUUUGGAAAAUUGCAUUGCUGUACAAGAUUUUGAUCAGGCAUCAAAAUUAAAAGAAGAAAUAAAAAUAUUGGAAGAUGCCAAAAUAAACCUGCUAAAAGAGACUGAGCAACUUGAAAUUAAAGAAGUCCACACAGAAAAGAACGAUGCGGAAACAUUACAGAAGUGUCUUGUUUUGUGUUACGAAUUGUUGAAACAGAUGUCCACUUCAACUGGAAUCACUGCAACCAUGAAUGGGAUCAUUGAAUCUUUGAUUCUUCCUGGAAUAAUAAGUGUUCAUCCUAUAGUAAGAAACUUGGCUGUUUUGUGUUUGGGAUGCUGUGGACUACAGAAUCGGGAUUUUGCCAGUAAACACUUUAUGCUGUUCUUACAGGUUUUGCAAAUCGAUGAUGUCACAAUAAAAAUAAGUGCUCUAAAGGCAAUCAUUGACCAAUUGAUGAUGUUUGGAAUUGAGCCAUUUAAAACCCAGAAAGUUAAGGGCGUUCAAUGUGAAGGUGAAGAAAUAAACUGUCAUGAUAAGCAAGAAGAAAAUGAUGCUGGAGAGACUGACCCAGCUAAGAGUGUUCUGAAACUCCUCUCCGACUUCUUAGACAGCGAGGUAUCUGAACUCAGGACAGGAGCUGCAGAAGGACUAGCCAAGCUGAUGUUUUCUGGGCUUUUGGUCAGCAGCAGGAUUCUUUCUCGUCUUAUUUUGUUAUGGUAUAAUCCUGUGACUGAAGAGGAUGUUCGACUUCGACAUUGCCUAGGAGUGUUUUUCCCCAUGUUUGCUUAUGCAAACAGGACUAAUCAGGAGUGCUUUGAAGAAGCCUUUAUUCCAACUGUGCAAACACUGGCCAAUGCCCCAGUGUCAUCUCCUUUAGCUGAAGUAGAUGUCACAAAUGUUGUUGAAUUGCUUGUUGAUCUGACAAGACCAAGUAGAUUAAAUCCUAAGGCAAAGAAUUCUCAGGAUUAUCAGGCCUUAACAGUACAUGACAACUUGGCUAUAAAAAUUUGCAAUGAGAUCUUAACAAGUCCAUGCUCACCAGAAAAUCGGGUUUAUACAAAAGCUUUGAGUUUGGUCGAACUCAGUAGCAAUGUUACAAAAGAUCUCCUGCUUCUAUUGGAUGAGAUUCUGGAGCAUGUAACAGAUAGGACGUGUCUGAGAGCCUUGGAGAAGAUUAAGAGUCAGUUAGGAAAGGGAGGUAAAGAAUCUGACCCAGGUGUAGUAACACAGGAUGUCAACACAACCACAGCAGUUCUUCAAAAUGAAAACGGAGCUUUUACUUUGUAGGAUUCACACUUUUGGAAUGGUGAUUCAUUAUAACCAUUCAGUAGCUGUUAAUAGGACUGUAUUUUUUGUAUUUUUGUAUGAUUCCAUGUAUGGAAGAAUAUAUGACUCCUGUGAGGGAUGGAAAAGGAACUCAAACAUCAAAAUCUACACAAGGAAAAUCUAAAAGAGGAUGUAGAAAAGCGCCAGUUUCAUCUAAGACCAACAGGAGACGCCAGAUUGCUGGGCCAGACUCUGAAAGUGAUCAUGAACCACCAUCAGAAAUGAAGAUGAGAUUACCCAGACGAGCCAAAACAGCUGCGCUACAGAAAAGUAAACUUAACCUUGCAGAGUUCCUUAAUGAAGAUACAAGUUAAGAGAGCUGAUAAGGAUGAAGUCCUUUGAAGUUGUGCUUAUAACUUUGCUUUAAUAGUUACUAUGAUAAAGUCAGAAAGCCUGCUCUGUUUCAGGAAACAUGAAUGAUGCCACAUGACUUCAGACUCCUUAUUUACAUUAAACAAUGGCUUUGAGAAACUGCAUCAUUCCUAUACUCAGUAUUUAUUUGAUAACUUUACCACAAUGGGUAAUUUCUCUUCCUAAAUUUUUCUAUGUAGGAACACUAUUUUAUGAAUGAAUUCUAGAUUAGGGUGCUGCCCACACACACAUUAAUCAUGAAAGAUACAUUGGUUUUUGGCACAUCAAAACAUACUCUACCUUGAAUAAUAAAUAAUACUAAUGGGAAAUAAAAGUCCUAGGAAGUAAUCUUUAUGUACUGAUUUAUGAGCACAGUUUCUUCACUGUUCAUUUCAGUUAUCUUAGGAAAUUGUCAUUGCUGUGAAACAUAAAAGUAGUCCCUUUUCUUUCUGCCAUACCCAAGGAAACACCUUUUAUUUGGAUAAAAAUGUCCUAACAUGAAAUUUUUAUUGUGCUUCUGCUUCAUUAAAUUUAUUUAUCAGAGGCCAUUUAACAGUUGUUCUGAGAUGGAAUGAAAGGUAUUGCUGGCUUUUAAAACCAAAAGGCUAUUCAGUCUAUACACAUAACAUGUGCUUUAUAGAAAUGAGAAAAGGAGUCAGAGUUACAAAGCAAGAAUGCUUAUUAAGCAAAAGGAAUGAUAUGGUAAUGAUACAAACCAAUGAAAAACACUGUUGUCCAUCUUUUGGCUCUAUGUCUUUUCCUGUGCUUCAUAUUUCUUAUUGAUAUAGUUCUUGUUAAAUCCUUGUCUUAAAUUCAUGGGGAACAGGAAGUGAGCAGGGCUAGAAUGGCAUGGUGUAAGGGAAAGCCACUAGGAAUGAACUAUCAUCUCAUUUAGACAUGUGCAGAGUAGCCAAAAGGAAAGAAGCUAUGAUCAUGUAGACACUACUGAAGUUUGCUUUUCUCUGACUUUAAGCACCAAUCCAUUAGUAGCAGUUUUACUACUCAGAUUUUAGACAAUAGCUGUGGCUGCAGGUAUACCUAGCAUCAUUAGCAUUACUAAGGAAUAUUGUCCUACUUCUGCAAGACACCCCUGUAAACUUUGGAACAAACUGCUAAAAUACAAUACAACCAAUAGGUUUAAAAAACAUAA